GAUGAACGCUGGCGGCGUGCCUAAUACAUGCAAGUCGAGCGAACGGACGAGAAGCUUGCUUCUCUGAUGUUAGCGGCGGACGGGUGAGUAACACGUGGAUAACCUACCUAUAAGACUUGGAUAACUUCGGGAAACCGGAGCUAAUACCGGAUAAUAUUUUGAACCGCAUGGUUCAAAAGUGAAAGACGGUCUUUCUGUCACUUAUAGAUGGAUCCGCGCUGCAUUAGCUAGUUGGUAAGGUAACGGCUUAACAAGGCAACGAUGCAUAGCCGACCUGCGAGGGUGAUCGGCCACACUGGAACUGAGACACGGUCCAGACUCCUACGGGAGGCAGCAGUAGGGAAUCUUCCGCAAUGGGCGAAAGCCUGACGGAGCAACGCCGCGUGAGUGAUAAAGGUCUUCGGAUCGUAAAACUCUGUUAUUAGGGAAGAAAAUAUGUGUAAGUAACUGUGCACAUCUUGACGGUACCUAAUCAGAAAGCCACGGCUAACUACGUG
rnacentral:rRNA from 1 species